ACCUGCGGAGGAUCAUUAUUGAUUGUGAAUCGUCGCCUUCUGUGCUGGCCCCCCGGCAAGUGCACGUUGGUGGCUUUCAUCCAAUACCCCUGUGAACCUUUGGCCUCUAGUUGGCUUCGGCUGGCAGAGGAUUUACAUACAAACUCGAAUGUAAUGAAAGUCCUUGUUGUGCACGAGCACUAAUGUAACAACUUUCAACAACGGAUCUCUUGGCUCUCGCAUCGAUGAAGAACGCAGCGAAAUGCGAUAAGUAAUGUGAAUUGCAGAAUUCAGUGAACCAUCGAAUCUUUGAACGCACAUUGCACUCCUUGGUAUUCCGAGGAGUAUGCCUGUUUCAGUAUCAUGAGCACUCUCACACCUAACCUUUGGGUUUAUGGCGUGGAAUUGGAAUGCGCCGACUGUCAUGGUUGGCCCUUCUAAAAUGUAGUUCUUGGCUGUCACCUAAUACAGCAGUUUGGCCUAAUAGUUUUGGCAUUCAUUGUCAAAUCUUUGGCUAACAUUUGCUCCAGGAGUCAGUCUUGAUAAUACAGAAAACUCAUUCAAAUUUUGAUCUGAAAUCAGGUAGGGCUACCCGCUGAACUUAAGCAUAUCAAUA
rnacentral:rRNA from 1 species